rnacentral:rRNA from 1 species
CGGGUGAGUAACACGUAUCCAACCUGCCGUCUACUCUUGGACAGCCUUCUGAAAGGAAGAUUAAUGCAGGAUGGCAUCAUGAGUCCGCAUGUUCACAUGAUUAAAGGUAUUCCGGUAGACGAUGGGGAUGCGUUCCAUUAGAUAGUAGGCGGGGUAACGGCCCACCUAGUCUUCGAUGGAUAGGGGUUCUGAGAGGAAGGUCCCCCACAUUGGAACUGAGACACGGUCCAA